rnacentral:tRNA from 1 species
UGCAAUGUAGCUCAGUGGGUAGAGCAGGCAACUUCGAUUGCCAGGCCGAGGGUUCGACUCCCUCUAUUGCAA